CUAGUUUAGUUUUUCUAUGUUUAGGUUUGGGUGUUGGACUCUCAAUUGGAGGCAGGUGUUUUUAGUUGCCUCUGAUUGAGAGUCCUAUAUAUAGGUGUGUGUUUGGUUUUUGUGGGUAGUUGUAUUUGCACUGCUUGUAGUUAUAGCCUGCAAAUCUGUUAGCUGUCGUUUGUUUUUUCCGUGUUCGCUAUAAUACAUAUAAUUAUGAGCACGCACCCCGCUGCGCCUUGGUCUCUACAUUACGACACCUGUGACACAAGUUUACUGGAUGUCCUUUGGGUGGUGGACCAUUCUUGAUACAAAUGGGAAAUUGUUGAGCUUGAAAAACCCAGCAUGGUUACAGUUCUUGACACACUCAAACCGGUGCGCCUGGCACCUACUACCAUACCCCGUUCAAAGUCAUUUAAAUAUUUUGUCUUGCCAUUCACCCUCCGAAUGGCACACAUACACAGUCCAUGUCUCAAUUGUCUCAAGGCUUAAAAAUAAUUUUUAACCUGUCUCCUCCCCUUCAUUUAUACUGAUUGAAGUGGAUUUAAAAGGUGACAUCAAUAAGGGUCAUAGCUUUCACCUGGAGUCACCUGACCAGUCUAUGUCUUGGAAAGAGCAGGUGUGCUUAAUGAUUUGAACACUCAGUGUUUGCUCCUAUCGUCUCCUAUCUUCUCUUAUCGGCUCCUAUCGUCUCCUAUCUUCUCUUAUCGGCUCCUAUAUUCUCUUUACAACUCCUAUCGACUCUUAUAUUCUCUUUACGACUGCUAUCGACUCUUAUAUUCUCUUUACGACUCCUAUCGACUCUUAUAUUCUCUUUACGACUCCUAUCGACUCUUAUAUUCUCUUUACGACUCCUAUCGACUCUUAUAUUCUCUUUACGACUCUUAUCGACUCUUAUAUUCUCUUAACGACUCUUAUCGUCUACUAUCGACUCCUAUAUUCUCUUAACGACUCCUAUAGACUCCUAUCUUCUCUUAUCGACUCCUAUCGACUCCUAUUGACUCCUAAUCUCUCUUCUGUAUUGCAGACUACAUUGAAAUAAUACACUAACAGAAUGUCUGUUUACCUUUUUCAUAAUGACACACACACACUACAGUAUACACACACACACAGUACACGCACACACUACAGUACUGGUAAGUGCACGAGGGGCCUUCACACGGCCUGUCUCAGUUUAUGUAGAUGACACAAAACAUGUAAGCGGUGCGAGUGAACAUCCUUGUCCAAUCCCUCCAAUCAAGAGUGUGCUGAGACCAGAUGUGUUGCCAAACGAAUUCAACACUUCUAUCAGGUGAGAAAUCGCAAGUGCUUCAGUUACCCGGGUGCAUCUCAAUAGUAUAAUGUGGCUUCCUCUCUUCGUCUCGUCUCCAUCAGCUACAUAAGAUAGAGUGGGUGAAUGCACAUGGUGGAUUCCUACCAGGGAGUUCCUUUCUGCUGUCAUGUGUUUUCACAUCAGUGCAAAGGAAAGCAGAGGACACUGCUUUAAACUGAUGAUAUGCACCGCUGGUCUUGGGUCGCUAGCGUACCUGUAGACGUCCAGUCAUUGCACUAACGCUAGUUAGCAUUGGCUCGCGAAACUACCUCUAAUUUCCUUCAUACUGCAAGCAGACAUAAAAACGCAGAGACACAAAAUGAAUUGCCAGAAUCUUGCAGUAUCCCUUUAAAUACGACACACGCUUAACCUUCCACAUACUGUAUGUGCUCUCACUUAUCCUGUGUGAUCUGAUUUAAGUGCACACAGGUCCUUCUGGGGGAAGAGAGGGUUACGGACGCCGUCGUCCCAGAGGCACAUUGACCCAGUGCUGAACCAGUCACCUGGAUGGAAGGUACGUCAAAAGGAAAAGGUCACCUUGAUGGAAGGAACGUCGGAGGAAAUGGUCACCUUGGUGGAAGGAAUGUGAGAAGAACGAUCACCUUGAUGGAAGGAAUGUCGGAGGAAACAGUCACCUUGAUGGAAGGAAUGUGAAAGGAACAAUCACCUUGAUGGAAGGUAUGUCCGAGGAAACGGUCACCUUGAUGGAAGGAAUGUGAGAGGAACAAUCACCUUGAUGGAAGGACCGUCGAAGAAAACGGUCACCUUGAUGGCAGGAACGUUGAAGGAAAUGGUCACUUGGAUGGAAGGAACGUAGAGGGAAACGGACACCUGGAUGGAAGGAACGUCUGAGGAAACAGUCACAUGGAAGGAAUGUCUGAGGAAACGGUCACCUGGAUGGAAGGAACGUCUGCGGAAACGGUCACCUGGAUGGAACAUCUGAGGAAACGGUCACCUGGAUGGAAGGAACGUCUGAGGAAACGGUCACCUGGAUGGAACAUCUGAGGAAACAGUCACAUGGAAGGAAUGUCUGAGGAAACGGUCACCUGGAUGGAAGGAACGUCUGCGGAAACGGUCACCUGGAUGGAACAUCUGAGGAAACGGUCACCUGGAUGGAAGGAACGUCUGAGGAAACGGUCACCUGGAUGGAAGGAACGUCUGAGGAAACGGUCACCUGGAUGGAACAUCUGAGGAAACAGUCACCUGGAUGGAAGGAACUUCUGAGGAAACGGUCACCUGGAUGGAAGGAACGUUGGAGGAAACGGUCACCUGGAUGGAACAUCUGAGGAAACAGUCACCUGGAUGGAAGGAACGUCUGAGGAAACGGUCACCUGGAUGGAAGGAACGUUGGAGGAAACGGUCACCUGAAUGGAAGGAACGUCUGAGGAAACGGUCACCUGGAUGGAAGGAACGUCUGAGGAAACGGUCACCUGGAUAGAAGGAACGUUGGAGGAAACAUUGUCGGGAGAUGCAGCGGUGAAAUACAAGGAGGGUUAUGAGAAAUCCAAGGGCCCAGAACCUCUUCAUCCCUGAUGUAGAGGUGCAGCAUUCCAAGAACAUCCACGCUUUCAUCUCUGAGGCCAAGUACAAGGAGGCAGAGAAGCAGCAGUUCUCCACUUCUCUCUACUCAAAGCUUCCAGAGACUUUGGACACUCAGCAUGACAAAGAGGCCUCCCAGCUACAGAGCGUGGAAGUGAUGUCACUGAGUAUUGCCCCUAUAUAUAGGACCUUCCACCCCCACCUGGGAUAUAGAUGCCUGAUGAAGACCUAGGGGUUGAAAUGUUGUAAAGAAAUAUCACCUGGGAGCAUGAGCAACAGUGUGCAGCGUUUUCCUUUCUGUUUUCCAUGAGUUUGCCUACAACUCCAGCACCUGCGGAAUGUACCAGGAUGCCUCCUGCAAGCAGACAGCCCUGCUGAGGGAGAACUCGUAUUGAACGGUGACCGAGACGCAUCAGAACUACUGCACGCCGCCUACCUGAAAGAUGUCUACAGUCAGUGUCAGUAGACUUGGGACUCAAAGCUGCUGAAAAGCCUGAUGUCCUCUGUCACCGACACUCCGGAAAUCAUCUUCGCCAGGGAGAACAAAGAAAAUCAGUGACGUGAAGCAUAAAAAGCAGCUCCAGGCCACCAGUGUGGGAGUCACCCCAGAGUUGGAGAGAGUCCAUCAGAACCAGGAGAACAUCAGCUCAGCAAGUCACAUAGGAAGCAUCUGAAAUGGCAACCUACAGUAUAUGUGCAGUACCAGCGCGGGAUGAAGGAGAUGAAGGGGCGGUCCUGCGGCGAGUUGGACACGCCCGGACUGAGUAGUGUCAGGGAGUCCCAGAACGACAUCUAACACGACUGAAGCGCACCGCGUGUGGGACUGCUGCACUUUUAACCCACACAGCUAAAGAGUUAACAGCAUGGCUGAUUCCUUGUUAUGAGGGAGCCGUAAUGAAUGUACUGUAUUGUGUCUGUGAACGUGUCUGUGAACGUGUCUGUGAGCGUGUCUGUGAGCGUUACUAAUAAAAUGAUUUUUACAUGGUUUCUUGUGAUGAAUUUUUUUGCAUACUGGCCAAAAUACACCCUUUGCUCUCUGACCAACAUGCACAAAGGUUGUGUGUGUGUGUGUGUGUGUGUGUGUGUGUGUGUGUGUGUGUGUGUGUGUGUGUGUGUGUGCUUGACAGCCGAUUUGCCUGGUGUAACACGAUUUCACAAAUGUGUAAAUGUACAUCAAUAAUGUUCCUCUCAUUUAGCUGCCACACACAACUGAGUUGUUAUCGCGAUGCUGAAAGUGUACCACCCAUAUUUGCUU